GGAACCUUUAGACAAAGCUAGUAAAGUCUCUGUAGAAACGCUGGAAAAGAAUUUGAGGCAGAUGGGAAGGCAGCUUCAACAGCUUGAGAAGGAAUUGGAAACCUUUCCCCCUCCUGAGGACUUGCAUGACAAGUUUGUGACAAAGAUGUCCAUAUCCUUUUGAUAUCUAAAUAACUUAAGUCACUAGUCAACUAGAGAUACAAUUUAUUUAAUAUUUUAGAUGUCUUUGUGUAACCAGAGAUCAUUCUGUAGUGCCAAAUUACAGAAAGUUUAACCUUUGCCUUCUUGCAGGGAAAUUUAUCAAAGUGUCUGUCAAUCAUGAAUAAUACACAAAUGUCUGUCUGUCUGUCUGUCUGUUUGUUUGUUUGUUUGUUUGUUUUUUGAAACCCAGACUGGAGUGCAGUGGCAUGAUCUUGGGUCACUGCAACCUCUGCUUCCCAAGUUCAAGCAAUUCUCCUGCCUCAGUCUCUCAAGUAGCUGGGCCUACAGGCACGCACCACCAUGCCCAGCUAAUUUUUUUGUAUUUUUAGUAGAGACAGGGUUUCACCAUAUUCGCCAGACUGGUAUCGACCUCCCGACCUCAAGUGAUCUGCCAGCCUCAGCCUCCCAAAGUGCUGGGAUUACAGGCGUGAGCCACCACGCCCAGCCACAAAUGUAUGAUCAUUAAUUUCUGUUUUUUUCCUUUUUAUCAGCUUAGAUAAUAGUAUGUUCUCUCAUCUUUUCCCUGUCAUAUACCUUAUUUCCUUCUGAUGUACCUGAUGAAUUGAAAGGAUAUUAAAACUCAGGUUGAGGAAGUUUGACUCUAAACUCAUGAUGUGAUUUAGAUACCUUUGAAAUGUCUGAGGAAGCAGAUACAAGACUUCAUAAACGGGUUUAACUAGUCAGCUUAACUUCAAGAAUUGGCAUAUAUUAUAAAUUAGUUUGUGCUCCAUAAAAUUUAAUAUUUCCUUUAGAAAUACUAGAUGGUUACAAAAUCAAAAUGGAGUUUAUUAUAGUCACUACUUGUAUUGAUAUUUUCCUAACCCAAAUAAAUCGAUAUAUAUGUGUGUAUAUACGUACACACACACACACACACACACACACAUACACACACAUAUAAUUAAUAGCAUGAGGCUUGUAUCCUGUUUAAGGUUUCCUUUGUAUUCAAUUAUCUUUAUUAUCACUAACUUUGCAGCUUAAUCUCUAAUGACUAACUGAAGUAAUAAACUUUUUUAUUUCCUGAAAGUAAUGUUGAGUUGCUUUGCAAACCAUUUUGUGAAAUUACAGACUGAUAUCUUUUGUGUUGUAAUAAAAUAUUACUACAAUGCAUUAUUAAAAUCCCAUAUGGACAAAUGAAUUCUGUAUGAAAGAUAACUCACUUCUAAAAUGAGCUCUUAUAAAUAGACACUCCUAAUAUCUUAAACUGAGGUACUUGAAAUAAAAUGACUAUUUUUCCUCUUUCUACCUCUUCUCUCCUGAGAUUUAGUGAAUCACAAAAUUAAUAUUUGGCUUGUCAUAGAUUUUAUUGUAUAUGCUUUCAGCUUAAUUGUGAACUAGUUGAGUUUUAGCUUCCUUCACUGUCUCUGUCGGGAAAUAUCAUAAAAAUAUACUCCAGCAACAAUCAAUUCAGGCUAACGUGUUUGUUUCCUUUUGUAUCUUGCCACCCAUCCAGUUUCUUAUUUCAUUAAGGAGGACGCCUUUAUCGCCCUACUGAGUAAGGCUUUUUUUUUUUCUUUUUAAGUAAAGGUGAAAUCUGUAUUCAUCAAAAAUUUUUUUGUACUACCUUCUCAUAUGACAAAGUGUGCUUUUUAAAAUAAAUAUAUUAUUGCAGUU
rnacentral:sRNA from 1 species